GUAGCUGGCUGUGAUAGGGCCAGAGAGAUCAGGGAGCAGGCUGUGAUAGGGCCAGAGAGAUCAGGGAGCAGGGGGCUGGCUGGGGCUGACUGUGAUAGGGCCAGAGAGAUCAGGGAGCAGGGGGCUGACUGUGAUAGGGCCAGGAGAGCAGGGGGCUGACUGUGAUAGAGCCAGAGGGAGCAGGGAGCAGGGAGCUGGCUGUGAUAGGGCCAGAGAGAUCAGGGAGCAGGGAGCUGGCUGUGAUAGGGCCAGAGAGAUCAGGGAGCAGGGGGCUGACUGUGAUAGGGCCAGAGAGAUCAGGGAGCUGGCUGUGAUAGGGCCAGAGAGAUCAGGGAGCAGGGGGCUG
ensembl:lncRNA